rnacentral:rRNA from 1 species
CGGGUGGUAAUGCCGGAUGCUCCAGUUGACCGCAUGGUCCUCUGGGAAAGCUUUUGCGGUAUGGGAUGGGGUCGCGUCCUAUCAGCUUGAUGGCGGGGUAACGGCCCACCAUGGCUUCGACGGGUAGCCGGCCUGAGAGGGCGACCGGCCACAUUGGGACUGAGAUACGGCCCAGACUCCUACGGGAGGCAGCAGUGGGGAAUAUUGCACAAUGGGCGCAAGCCUGAUGCAGCGACGCCGCGUGCGGGAUGACGGCCUUCGGGUUGUAAACCGCUUUUGACUGGGAGCAAGCCCUUCGGGGUGAGUGUACCUUUCGAAUAAGCACCGGCUAACUACGUGCCAGCAGCCGCGGUAAUACGUAGGGUGCAAGCGUUAUCCGGAAUUAUUGGGCGUAAAGGGCUCGUAGGCGGUUCGUCGCGUCCGGUGUGAAAGUCCAUCGCUUAACGGUGGAUCCGCGCCGGGUACGGGCGGGCUUGAGUGCGGUAGGGGAGACUGGAAUUCCCGGUGUAACGGUGGAAUGUGUAGAUAUCGGGAAAGAACACCA